rnacentral:rRNA from 1 species
UGGGGAAUCUUGCACAAUGGGGGAAACCCUGAUGCAGCGACGCCGCGUGAGCGAUGAAGCCCUUCGGGGUGUAAAGCUCUUUCGGCAGGGACGAUAAUGACGGUACCUGCAGAAGCAGCUGCGGCUAACUACGUGCCAGCAGCCGCGGUAAUACGUAGGCAGCAAGCGUUGUUCGGAGUUACUGGGCGUAAAGGGUGCGUAGGCGGUCCUAUAAGUAUGGUGUGAAAUCUCCCGGCUUAACUGGGAGGGUGCGCUAUAGACUGUGGGACUAGAGUGUGGGAGAGGAAAGUGGAAUUCCUGGUGUAGCGGUGAAAUGCGUAGAUAUCAGGAGGAACACCGGCGGUGUAAACGGCUUUCUGGACCAUAACUGACGCUGAGGCACGAAAGCGUGGGUAGCAAACA